UCUGUGCUGAUUAUUUUUUAUUAAAUCUUUAAGAAUAGUCAGAGCUCUAUUUUUCUGAUACAGAGCUCCAAAAAGGGGUCCUCCAGCUCAAAUUAGUCACUGAAGUCUGAUUGGUAUAAAGUUUGCAGGGUUUGUUAAUUAAAGUUUGGUGGUGUCAUCUAUGUAUGUAUGGCACUGGGCGUAGAGAUCACCGUUGGGUUUUAUGACUAGUGAAAAUGCUUUCCAAAAAUGUCCAAAACAAUAGGACCUUUAAGUCAAUUAUUGCGCCCCCACAUAACUCCGGGACAAAACCAUGCCCACUAGAGCUGCCUCUCUAUAACUAUACCUACUGUCUCUGACCUUCCAUACUACAACCUCUAGCUAUCUACAUGUGUGGCCUGGUCACUGACUGUUCUCAAAAAUAUUGUCAUAUGAUACAACCUCAAUAAACCAUGGUGUUCCCCAUGUUUUUUAAGAAAACCUAUUUGUGUCACUCAUCCAAUCAGUAAUUCUGCAAUAUAGAAUUUAGACACAGAUACCGGUAUGUCCUAUUUUUCCAUCCAAAUUGGCACAGACCAAUGAGCGAAAUGAGCUGUCACUGACUGCAGUGAUGUCACUGUCACCUGCAUUCUGAGCUGUCAAGUCACUGACGCAUGUGAUUCCUGCAUUCUGAUCAGUCGUGUUGCUUCUGCCUACGACUCCAGGAGAUGACACCUGUCCUACAGCUUCUCAUUCUGCUCUGCUGGUCAUGGAUGUGCCUGGCAGAUGUUAUUCAGAAGCCGGUAUUCCAUCCUGCUCGCCCUAUGGACAAUGUGUCACUGACCUGCACAGACGAUAGAUCCAACUACAACACAAAGUAUUGGUACAAACUUCAGAAUGGGAAAGGGCUUGUUCUUAUCGGAUUCUCUGUCUAUGAACAAGUUACCAUAGAAGAUGGGUUCAGUGAUGGAAGGAUGAAGAUCCAGCCCAAUGGAACCAUCAUAAGUCGCUUGAACGUUUCUCACGUCUCUGCCCAAGACAGCGCAGUUUAUUACUGUGCCAGUAGCAUCCACAGCGAGAAAAUCAUAUUGAGAGAGUGUGCAGAACUGAGACAUUGAGACCCCCCCCCCCACAAUGUGACAGUUAACUAUUAUGAGUAUGAGAGUGGAGACAACGUGUGACGAGUAACGGUUAGAUAAACCACAACUGGGAGAGAUCUCUUUAUUCCUGGGACAAGUGAUAUCAACUAUGUAUCAUUUAUUCAGCUUAGGGGUGGCACUGGUUCUCCUUAAGGCCUCAUACACACACCGUAUCCGUUUUUCAGUCUGCAGAUCACAGAUCCGGAACAUACGGAAGCAGUCUGUGUGCCGUCUUCAUUUUAUUUGCAUACCCAUUGUUUUAAAUAAGUCCUU